UUAAUUGAAAAUCAAAACAUGUUUUAGUCGAAAGUGAACUUUUCAUGAGAAAAGUCGGUUAUUGGCAGUACUUAAGAUUAUUUUGACAAAGAAAUCUCUAUUUGAUCUAAAAUAUUAUGUUUGCUUUAUUAUUAGGAAUUUUAGCCUUCAGCGCUAUAGAAGUACAUGCUGAGAAUAAACCAUUUGUUGCAAUUGCUGUUGUAGAAGGUACCGAAGGUGCCGUUAAAGGAAAUAUUACAUUUACACAAGCUGGUUGUGGUGAAAAUGUUCAUGUUCAUAUUUUAGUACAUGGUUUAUCAGAUGGACCUCACGGUUUUCAUAUUCAUGAAAAAGGUGAUAUUACAAAUGGUUGUUUGAGUAUGGGUGGACAUUAUAAUCCAGAUAAGAUGGAUCACGGUGCACCAACCGAUGAAAUUCGCCAUGUGGGUGAUUUAGGAAAUAUAAUAUCACAAAAUAGUGUUGUCGAUACUGUAAUAACAGAUCAUUUAAUAACUUUAACUGGACCAAGAUCAAUUGUUGGUAGAGGUGUUGUCAUUCAUACCGGUGAAGAUGAUUUAGGCAGGACAUUGCAUCCAGAUUCAAAAAAAACUGGUAAUGCUGGAGGACGUGCUGCUUGUGGAAUUAUUGGAAUCAAAAUCAGGCCUAGAACUUUUUAAAACCUAAAUAUAUUUUGAAAGGCAAAUGUAACCAAAAUACCAAACGUAUAAUUUUUUAACAAAGCCAAGAAAAAGAUUUUAUCGCAUAAAGCUAAUUUGACUAAAGGUAACACCAUCAGAUACAAAUUGGCCCUGUACAUCGGGUAGUAAUUUCAUUCAUCGAACCAAUGUUCUUCAAGCUCUAAUCCUGCCAUUUAUUUUUGUAAUUUUAAGUAAUACGUUUUAGAUUUAGUUCUUAUUCAAAAUCGAUUAAAUUGUCUUCGAAUAUUUACGAAAAAAAUAUGUUAAAUAAUUUGUAUAUAAUUAUAAAAACUAUUUAUUAAAUUAAUAAAAAUUAUUUAAGUGUAAUAUUCAUAAUAUAAAAAUUAGUUUGUAACAACACUUAAAACGUAUUUCAUGAUGUUCACAAUUUAAUGAAUUUUGUAGUAAAAUUAUUGCAAGUACUCGUAUUUAUUUCAAUUUAUAACCUUAAAAAUGUAAUGUAAAAUAUAUAAAUAUACAAUUUUUUUGUCGCAUAAUUUGGAUUAAGUUUUUUGAACAAAAAUUUUUGCU